rnacentral:pre_miRNA from 1 species
UUGUUACUCCCUCCGUCUGAAAAAGCUUGUCCCAAGCUUGUCUUUCAAAUGGAUGUAUCUAGCACUAACUUGGUGCUAGAUACAUUCAUUUGAGGGACAAACUUUUUCGGACAGAGGGAGUACACA